rnacentral:tRNA from 1 species
UGGGGUAUAGCCAAGCGGUAAGGCAGCGGAUUUUGAUUCCGUCACGCCCAGGUUCGAAUCCUGGUACCCCAGCCA